ACAAAUAAUGCAUGUACCUUAAUCUGAUCAAUUGAUUUCACAUUCGUUGUUCCUAGUACAUAUUAAUUAAGUAUGUGAUUAUAUCCCAAUUAAAUUACCACUUGAGUGAUAUAUGAGAGUUUUCUUUCAAGUUAUACAUGUUAAGAAUUUCCACUAUGGACAAUGGUGCAUAUAAGAAACUCAUUCAGAAGUUAAUAAAAGGUUGCUUUGGUAGAAGGAGCUGUUUACAUGAAUGUAUACAAGAGAGAAGAAUUUGCCGAACGGAAAUGUGAGGUAUGUUAGAUUGAACUUGAUUUUCUUUCUUAUUUUUAUUUUUCCUCAAGAUUCAUAUUUAUUUUUAUUUAAUUUG